rnacentral:rRNA from 1 species
CCUACGGGAGGCAGCAGUGGGGAAUAUUGGACAAUGGGGGCAACCCUGAUCCAGCCAUGCCGCGUGUGUGAAGAAGGCCCUCGGGUUGUAAAGCACUUUCAGUGAGGAAGAACGCCUGGUGGUUAAUACCCAUCAGGAAAGACAUCACUCACAGAAGAAGCACCGGCUAACUCCGUGCCAGCAGCCGCGGUAAUACGGAGGGUGCGAGCGUUAAUCGGAAUUACUGGGCGUAAAGCGCGCGUAGGUGGCUUGAUAAGCCGGUUGUGAAAGCCCCGGGCUCAACCUGGGAACGGCAUCCGGAACUGUCAAGCUAGAGUGCAGGAGAGGAAGGUAGAAUUCCCGGUGUAGCGGUGAAAUGCGUAGAGAGCGGGAGGAAUACCAGUGGCGAAGGCGGCCUUCUGGACUGACACUGACACUGAGGUGCGAAAGCGUGGGUAGCAAACAGGAUUAGAUACCCUUGUAGUC